rnacentral:rRNA from 1 species
UGAGGAAUAUUGGUCAAUGGACGCAAGUCUGAACCAGCCAAGCAGCGUGCAGGAUGACGGCCCUAUGGGUUGUAAACUGCUUUUAUAAGGGGAUAAAGUGGGGAACGUGUUCCCUUUUGCAGGUACCAUAUGAAUAAGGACCGGCUAAUUCCGUGCCAGCAGCCGCGGUAAUACGGAAGGUUCGGGCGUUAUCCGGAUUUAUUGGGUUUAAAGGGAGCGUAGGCCGUUUGGUAAGCGUGUUGUGAAAUGUAGGAGCUCAACUUCUAGAUUGCAGCGCGAACUGUCAGACUUGAGUGCGCACAACGUAGGCGGAAUUCAUGGUGUAGCGGUGAAAUGCUUAGAUAUCAUGAAGAACUCCGAUUGCGAAGGCAGCUUACGGGAGCGCAACUGACGCUGAAGCUCGAAGGUGCGGGUAUCGAACAGG